rnacentral:rRNA from 1 species
GACGAACGCUGGCGGCGUGCUUAACACAUGCAAGUCGAGCGAGGCCCCUCCUUCGGGAGGGUGUCCUAGCGGCGAACGGGUGAGUAACACGUGGGCAACCUGCCCUCAGCUCUGGGAUAACUCCGGGAAACCGGGGCUAAUACCGGAUACGACCUCCACGGGCAUCUGCGGAGGUGGAAAGUUUUUCGGCUGAGGAUGGGCCCGCGGCCUAUCAGCUAGUUUGUGGGGUAGUGGCCCACCAAGGCGACGACGGGUAGCCGGCCUGAGAGGGCGACCGGCCACACUGGGACUGAGACACGGCCCAGACUCCUACGGGAGGCAGCAGUGGGGAAUAUUGCGCAAUGGGCGAAAGCCUGACGCAGCGACGCCGCGUGAGGGACGAAGGCCUUCGGGUUGUAAACCUCUUUCAGCAGGGACGAAGCGAAAGUGACGGUACCUGCAGAAGAAGCACCGGCCAACUACGUG